rnacentral:lncRNA from 1 species
GGUGCUGGCUGAGGUGUGUCAGUGACUGCCACGGGCUGCACCCCUCACUGUUGCCUGAAGUCACCCAAGGUCGCCCAAGGUCAGUGGGAAAUAUCCAGGGAUGACGGUGGAUCCUGGGAGCGCCUCACAACAGCUACCUUCGGCACAGCACGACUUUGGAAGGCCUAAAGUUUGAACCAAAAAUGGAGCCCCUGCCGCUCUCCCCAUAUGGGAUUCAAAUUGAAAAGCUACAAGGAAUGAAUGCUAUGGAUAAACUGCUGAAGAUGGUUCCUGUCCAUUUGACUCUGAAGGGUGUCUUCUUUCACGUUGAAGAACAGGAGACAAUCAAAAUGUGAAACGUAUGCUGAAGCCAACCAGAACAUCAAAGGACAGUCAAAAGCGCUAACCAUGAAACUAUAUUUCUACUAAUACAUUCUUUUAAAAAAAAAAUAAAAA